CAUCCUGCAGCUUUUGUUCGUGCUUUCCCUGCUUCCUCUGUGCCCCUACUGGUGUAGUUGAGCAGGCCUGUGGGCAAGAGACGAUGUGCAGACUCCACUUCAAGUCAACUGUGGAGUUCUUGUUCCAUGCAUAUGGACCUAAAUUCUGAAAAUAGUCCAGUUUCAAAACUACCCCAAAUUUCCUGAAGCAGUUUUUCUCCAUCGUCAAAUAUCGUUACAAAGGGAAAUCCUGUAACUGGAUUAAUUAAGCUACUUGUCCUUAAAACGGUUCCUUCUGCAGAGUGACCAAGAUGAAUCUUCCCCCGAUGCCUGUGACCAGAUGGGACAUUGUGUUAGUGCUGUCAGCACAGGAGCACUGUCAGAAGCAUUUUGUAAGCCCACAAGAAACAGAGCUACUGUCUCCCUGAAGAACACUGUCUCCAAUGCUUGGAAAAUUGGGAAAGGUGGCUGAGCUGAAAGCGAAACCAAAACUGUAGAAAAGGAGAAAGAGACAAAAAAAGAAGGAAACUGGAAAUAAGGAGAGACAGUGAAAGAAGAGAUCAAACUAAAAUGACUUAAACUAGUUUUGUGAUUUGGACAUUAACAAUGUCUCCCAAUCAGCAGCAGCUAUUUCUUGCUGUCCUUCUAGUCUUCAGUGGCAAUGUCAUGGGUAACAACCUGACGACUGGUAACCUUUCACAAGUUACAUGUUCAAUUUCAGGCCAUGAUCCUGUUGUCAUAGGCACAGCCUGGGACUUUCCUAUUUCACUAAAGGAGUUAGACAUUCACGUGCAUUGAUUUUCAAUAGGAGUUGUGUGCCUACCUCUCUCUGACCCCUUUUAAAAUGUUUCUUUAACUCCCUACUUGUCCUCUAAACAGUUCCUUCUCAGAGGUCUGUUCAAUGACUGAGAUGAAUCCUCACCCUGGAGCCUGUGACCAAGUGGGCAUGUGUUGAUGUUGUCUGCACAGGAGCACUGUCAGGAGCAUCCUAGAAGCCCGCAAGAAACACUAAAUGAUGGGAACUGCGUCUACUGCAGAAGCAACACCCGCUCCACAUGUGGAGGGAGGAGGUGGCAGCCCCUUGUGUUACUUUGCAGUAUUACUUUCUCCUCCAGACCUUUGAAACAUCAAAUGUCUUCACCAUCAUGACACCUACAAGGAGGCAUUGAUGAAACAUGAGCUGGUUACUGCCAUCAGCCUUGUCACUGAGCAUCAAGUCAGUGUGCACUGAGAUGAAGGGGCAGUCCACACUUCUGAGUUAUUGUUUCACAUUCUGCCAAUGCGGACAGACAUCACUUUAUCAGUUAUACUUGGUGCCUAUUUUUGAGGCUCUCUCAGCAGCUAUAAGCUAGAGACUUCAUUCUUUUAAAAUGAAAGCUUAGAUUCUGAAGAAUAAAGUGGCAGCAUGAAAGAGGUGUUCAUGCUGUAUCUGUGUGUACCAACUGACUCUGAGCCCUGGCUGGCUCCCACUCCUUUUGUAACAGGGUAGUCUGCCCUUUUAAGAACCAAGGAGCCAGCCAGCCCUAUUAAGGAGAAGAUCCCAACAAGCAAGUGCUGGGCAUCAUCGGAUCCAGCUGGAUGGUAUCCAGUGAUUGGGUCGGAUGAUUGCCAGCUAGGGGAUAUAAAUGAGGGCCCCAGAGCCACCAGGGAGCCUGAGACCAGGAGAGGGCUAGGAGAAUGCUCCCCUGUGACAGCAGCAGAUGAUUUCUAGAGAGUGAGUAGAUUCUGUAGACAGUCAUGGAUUGGAGAAGGUCCUGGUCAUUAAGCUGCCAGAAGGCCCCUCAAUCUUAAUGGGAACAGGCGUGUGUGUGUGUGUGUG